rnacentral:lncRNA from 1 species
GCUAAAAUACAAAAUAGGAAAAUUCCAUGUAGAAUCCUUCAGAAAAUGCACGUUUUCAGAGUUACUUCCCCUUAAAAUGCCAAAUUAAAAAAAAAUAAAAACAAUCAAAAAUAAUCAAUAUUUGCAAAAAUAUUUAAUAAUUAUAAGUUAUAUUCUUAUAAAUUGGUUCUUUUAAAUGAACAUUCACAUUUAAAAUUUUCAUUCCUGCAUCAAAUUUUGCUAAUUUGAUAGAAAAUCUGCACCUUUGGUUCUCUGUUUUUCACAAUCCAAGAUGGAGGAAGACACCCAUACCACC